rnacentral:misc_RNA from 1 species
GAUGAAGAACGUAGCGAAAUGCGAUACGUAAUGUGAAUUGCAGAAUUCAGUGAAUCAUCGAAUCUUUGAACGCAUAUUGCGCUCUCUGGUAUUCCGGAGAGCAUGCUUGUUUGAGUAUCAGUAAACACCUCAACUCCCCUUUCUUUUUUUGAAAUGGGAGCUGGACUUGAGUGAUCCCAACGCUUUUCUCACCGAAAAGUGGCGGGUUACUUGAAAUGCAGGUGCAGCUGGACUUUUCUCUGAGCUAAAAGCAUAUCUAUUUAGUCUGCCUAAAAAACAGAUUAUUACCUUUGCUGCAGCUAACAUAAAGGAGAUUAGUUCUUGUGCUGACUGAUGCAGGAUUCACAGAGACAGCUUCGGCCGACUUUGUAAACUCGAUCUCAAAUCAAGUAAGACUACCCGCUGAACUUAAGCAUAUCAAUAAGCGGAGGA